AUGCUCAAGCACAGGGAGGCGCCCGUAGUCGCCGACGGCGAGGAGAGCUACGACUACGACCUCUUCGUCAUCGGCGCCGGCAGCGGCGGCGUCCGCGGCUCCCGCACCGCCGCCGGCUUCGGGGCCAAGGUUGCGAUCUGCGAGCUCCCGUUCCACCCCAUCAGCUCCGAGUGGCUCGGAGGCCACGGCGGAACGUGCGUGAUACGUGGCUGCGUCCCGAAGAAGAUACUCGUCUACGGCGCAUCUUUCAGGGGGGAAUUCGAUGACGCCAAGAAUUUCGGGUGGGAAAUCGACGGGGACAUCAACUACACCUGGAAAAGGUUGCUGGAAAAUAAGACUCAAGAAAUUGUUAGAUUAAACGAAGUGCACAAGAGAAUCCUUGGUAAUUCUGGCGUGACAAUGAUCGAGGGGGCAGGAAGUAUUGUGGAUGUUCAUACUGUUGAGGAGCUGGCUAUUACUUCGGAUGAGGCUUUAAGUUUGGAGGAGCUACCAAAACGCGCCGUGAUUCUUGGUGGCGGAUAUAUUGCUGUUGAAUUUGCUUCUAUCUGGAAAGGGUUGGGUGCUGAAGUAGAUCUAUUUUACAGGAAAGAACUUCCUCUAAGAGGUUUUGAUGAUGAGAUGAGAACAGUUGUUGCAAGUAACCUUGAAGGAAGGGGAAUCAGAUUGCAUCCAGGGACAAAUUUGACUGAGUUGAGUAAAACAGCCGAUGGCAUUAAAGUUGUGACAGAUAAGGGGGAUGAGCUCAUUGCAGAUGUUGUUCUUUUCGCUACAGGUCGUGCGCCGAACUCCAAUAGGCUGAACCUGGAAGCUGUUGGUGUUGAGGUUGAUCAAGUAGGAGCCAUCAAGGUUGAUGAAUACUCCCGUACAUCAGUUCCGAAUAUAUGGGCUGUGGGUGAUGUUACGAAUCGGAUUAACCUAACACCUGUUGCUCUGAUGGAGGCUACUUGCUUCGCUAAAACUGUGUUUGGUGGCCAGACAGUUAAGCUUGAUUAUAAAGAUGUACCUUGUGCUGUUUUCUGCAUUCCACCACUAUCUGUCGUCGGUCUCAGCGAACAAGAGGCUUUGGCAGAAGCCAAGAAUGAUCUUCUUGUUUACACAUCAAGUUUCAACCCAAUGAAGAACAGCAUAUCCAAGCGCUGCUUUGGCUGCAAGUGGAGUUUGAUGCGGCAGAUGGAGGCUGGUGAUGCAUCGCUCUGGCGUAGACUGCUACACAGGGAGCGGAUCGCAAUGUAUGCCAGCGCCCGCGCUUCUCCAACGGUUGCUACACCAGUUCCUGUUGAGCCCUGCCCUUCACCCGCCGACUCUCUAGGCACAUGGGUGAGAGCCAUGUGUGGACCAGAUGCAGCUGAAAUUAUGCAGGGCAUUGCUGUUGCGCUCAAGGCUGGAGCUACCAAGGCGACCUUCGACAGCACCGUCGGCAUCCACCCUUCUGCGGCGGAGGAGUUUGUGACGAUGCGGACCUUGACCAGGCGCGUGAGCCCGCCAUCCAAGCCAAAGACGAACUUGUAA
rnacentral:rRNA from 1 species